rnacentral:rRNA from 1 species
AGUCGAGCGGAUGACGGGAGCUUGCUCCUUGAUUCAGCGGCGGACGGGUGAGUAAUGCCUAGGAAUCUGCCUGGUAGUGGGGGACAACGUUUCGAAAGGAACGCUAAUACCGCAUACGUCCUACGGGAGAAAGCAGGGGACCUUCGGGCCUUGCGCUAUCAGAUGAGCCUAGGUCGGAUUAGCUAGUUGGUGGGGUAAUGGCUCACCAAGGCGACGAUCCGUAACUGGUCUGAGAGGAUGAUCAGUCACACUGGAACUGAGACACGGUCCAGACUCCUACGGGAGGCAGCAGUGGGGAAUAUUGGACAAUGGGCGAAAGCCUGAUCCAGCCAUGCCGCGUGUGUGAAGAAGGUCUUCGGAUUGUAAAGCACUUUAAGUUGGGAGGAAGGGCAUUAACCUAAUACGUUAGUGUUUUGACGUUACCGACAGAAUAAGCACCGGCUAACUCUGUGCCAGCAGCCGCGGUAAUACAGAGGGUGCAAGCGUUAAUCGGAAUUACUGGGCGUAAAGCGCGCGUAGGUGGUUUGUUAAGUUGGAUGUGAAAGCCCCGGGCUCAACCUGGGAACUGCAUCCAAAACUGGCAAGCUAGAGUACAGUAGAGGGUGGUGGAAUUUCCUGUGUAGCGGUGAAAUGCGUAGAUAUAGGAAGGAACACCAGUGGCGAAGGCGACCACCUGGACUGAUACUGACACUGAGGUGCGAA